UCCCCAGUAGUUCAGUUGGUAGAACACCGGACUGUUAAUCCGUAUGUCGCUGGUUCGAGUCCAGCCUGGGGAGCCA
rnacentral:tRNA from 2 species